AAUCCAUGCUGUGGGUAUCUCCGCAGAAGAUGCUUCAAGCGCUCCCAUGUCUCAAACAAUGAUUCCAACUCUAUCUGUACAAAUGACGAAAUCUCAUUGUGAAGCU